UGUGUUUGUGUAUGUGUGUGUGGGUGUUUGUGUGUGUUUUGUGUGUUGUGUGUGUGGGUGUUUGUGUGUGUGUGUGUUUGUGUGUGUGUGUGGGUGUUUGUGUGUGUGUGUGGGUGUUUGUGUGUGUGUGGGUGUUUGUGUGUGUGUGGGUGUUUGUGUGUGUGUGUGGGUGUUUGUGUGUGUGUGUGGGUGUUUGUGGGUGUGUUUGUGAAUUUUGGGGUGUGGGGGUUUUUACAGGAUGGACUUUGGGGUUCGUGCCAAUUAAAUGUCAUUGGUGCCAAUUUAGGUUUUCAUGUCCCUUCCCUCCUCUGGUCUCAGGUGGCGGUGGUGGGUGACGGUGAGAGCCGAGCCGGAGGCCAGGCUGGGGCUGGGGGGAGGCCAGUUGGCGCUGAGAGUGCCCGGUCUGGGGCAGGAGGCGCUGGAGCAAGGACAUGCCCACCUGGGAAUUGGGUCCCUCCUUUCUCCUGGACGGUCAAGGACUCGAGCCCAAGGCCAAUUUGACCCGAGGUCCUAGGCGAGGAGAUGGGGGGGGGGGGGCCGAAUUCUUUAACUUGCCAAUUGUUUUUAAGCCAAUUAGUUUUUUAGUGUGUUUGCAGCCAAUUGAGUUUUUUAGGGAUUUUUUGGUUUUGGGGUUUUUUUUUUAGGCCAAUUGGAGUUUGUGGUGUUUGUAAAAAGCCCACUAGUUUUAGGGGCUUGGUGUGUGUGUGUGUGUGUGUGUGUGUGUGUGUGUGUGUGUAUGUGUGUGUGUAUGUGUGUGUAUGUGUGUGUAUGAGGUUUAAAUUUUAUUGUAUAAUUUGGAUGAUGGUUUGGUUGAAUAAUUUGGUUGAAUAGUUUGGCCGAAUAGUUUUACUGAGUAAU